ensembl:snRNA U4 U4 spliceosomal RNA
AGCUUUGCACAGUGGCAGUAUUGUAGCCAAUGAGAUUUAUCUGAGAUGUGAUUAUUGCUAAUUGAAACAGUUAUCAUGAUACUAGGACUGC